rnacentral:rRNA from 1 species
UACGGAGGGUGCGAGCGUUGUUCGGAAUCAUUGGGCGUAAAGCGCGCGCAGGCGGCUCUGUAAGUCCAGGGGUGAAAUGCCGGAGCUCAACUCCGAGCGUGCCCCGGAUACUGCGGAGCUAGAGGCAGGUAGAGGCUGGCGGAAUUCCGGGUGUAGCGGUGGAAUGCGUAGAGAUCCGGAAGAACACCAGAGGCGAAGGCGGCCAGCUGGGCCUGACCUGACGCUGAGGCGCGAAGGCGUGGGGAGCGAACAGGAUUAGAAACCCCAGUAGUCC